CUGGUCACAUGAGGUGCAGUGU
rnacentral:miRNA from 1 species